rnacentral:rRNA from 1 species
GACGAACGCUGGCGGCGUGCUUAACACAUGCAAGUCGAACGGAAAGGCCCUGCUUUUGUGGGGUGCUCGAGUGGCGAACGGGUGAGUAACACGUGAGUAACCUGCCCUUGACUUUGGGAUAACUUCAGGAAACUGGGGCUAAUACCGGAUAGGAGCUCCUGCUGCAUGGUGGGGGUUGGAAAGUUUCGGCGGUUGGGGAUGGACUCGCGGCUUAUCAGCUUGUUGGUGGGGUAGUGGCUUACCAAGGCUUUGACGGGUAGCCGGCCUGAGAGGGUGACCGGGCACAUUGGGACGGAGAUACGGCCCAGACUCCUAAGGGAGGCAGCAGUGGGGAAUAUUGCACAAUGGGCGGAAGCCUGAUGCAGCAACGCCGCGUGCGGGAUGACGGCCUUCGGGUUGUAAACCGCUUUCGCCUGUGACGAAGCGUGAGUGACGGUAAUGGGUAAAGAAGCACCGGCUAACUACGUG